rnacentral:rRNA from 1 species
GCCAGACUCCUACGGGAGGCAGCAGUGAGGAAUAUUGGUCAAUGGGCGGGAGCCUGAACCAGCCAAGUCGCGUGAGGGAGUACUGCCCUAUGGGUUGUAAACCUCUUUUGUCGGGGAGCAAAUGCCGGACGAGUCCGGCUGUGAGAGUACCCGAAGAAAAAGCAUCGGCUAACUCCGUGCCAGCAGCCGCGGUAAUACGGAGGAUGCGAGCGUUAUCCGGAUUUAUUGGGUUUAAAGGGUGCGCAGGCGGAUUUUUAAGUCAGCGGUCAAAUCGUGGGGCUCAACCCCGUCCAGCCGUUGAAACUGGGGAUCUAGAGUGUGCGAGAGGUAUGCGGAAUGCGUGGUGUAGCGGUGAAAUGCAUAGAUAUCACGCAGAACUCCGAUUGCGAAGGCAGCAUACCGGCGCUCAACUGACGCUCAUGCACGAAAGUGUGGGUAUCGAACAGGAUUAGAUACCCUAGUA